GAUGAACGCUGGCGGCGUGCCUAAUACAUGCAAGUCAAGCGAACGGACGAGAAGCUUGCUUCUCUGAUGUUAGCGGCGGACGGGUGAGUAACACGUGGAUAACCUACCUAUAAGACUGGGAUAACUUCGGGAAACCGGAGCUAAUACCGGAUAAUAUUUUGAACCGCAUGGUUCAAAAGUGAAAGACGGUCUUGCUGUCACUUAUAGAUGGAUCCGCGCUGCAUUAGCUAGUUGGUAAGGUAACGGCUUACCAAGGCAACGAUGCAUAGCCGACCUGAGAGGGUGAUCGGCCACACUGGAACUGAGACACGGUCCAGACUCCUACGGGAGGCAGCAGUAGGGAAUCUUCCGCAAUGGGCGAAAGCCUGACGGAGCAACGCCGCGUGAGUGAUGAAGGUCUUCGGAUCGUAAAACUCUGUUAUUAGGGAAGAACAUAUGUGUAAGUACCUGUGCACAUCUUGACGGUACCUAAUCAGAAAGCCACGGCUAACUACGUG
rnacentral:rRNA from 1 species